rnacentral:rRNA from 1 species
AACGAACGCUGGCGGCAGGCCUAACACAUGCAAGUCGAACGCACCGCAAGGUGAGUGGCGCACGGUUGAGUAACACGUGGGAAUGUAUCCUUUGGUUCGGAAUAACGUCUGGAAACGGACGCUAAUACCGGAUGAGCCCUUAGGGGGAAAGAUUUAUCGCCGAAGGAGCAGCCCGCGUCUGAUUAGGUAGUUGGUGGGGUAAAGGCCUACCAAGCCGACGAUCAGUAGCUGGUCUGAGAAGAUGAUCAGCCACACUGGGAUUGAGACACGGCCCAGACUCCUACGGGAGGCAGCAGUGGGGAAUAUUGGACAAUGGGCGCAAGCCUGAUCCAGCCAUGCCGCGUGAGUGAUGAAGGCCUUCGGGUUGUAAAGCUCUUUCGCACACGACGAUGAUGACGGUAGUGUGAGAAGAAGCCCCGGCUAACUUCGUGCCAGCCGCCGCGGUAAAAC